rnacentral:rRNA from 1 species
AAGAUUUUAAUGGUCGAACAGACCAAUAAUUUAAGCAUCUUCACCUAAUUAAUAAUCUUAAUCCAACAUCGAGGUCACAAUCCAAUCCUGUCAAUAAGAACUCUCAAAGAUGAUUGCG